ensembl:snoRNA SNORD21 Small nucleolar RNA SNORD21
GCUACAUGAUGAUACUCCCAAAGACUGAACACUCUGUAGUUGGUCCACGGUGUGUGUAUAUGAUGUACUGCACUGUUUCAAGACGGGACUGAUGGCAGC